AUUGAACGCUAGCGGGAUGCCUUACACAUGCAAGUCGAACGAGUGGCGGACGGGUGAGUAAUAUCUCGGAACGUGCCCAGUAGCGGGGGAUAACUACUCGAAACGGUGGCUAAUACCGCAUACCAUCGGAUCUGCCCAGAUCGGAUUAGCUAGUGGGUGGGGUAAAGGCUCACCAAGGCGACGAUCCGUAGCUGGUCUGAGAGGAUGACCAGCCACACUGGAACUGAGACACGGCCCAGACUCCUACGUGAGGCAGCAGUGGGGAAUUUUGGACAAUGGGGGAAACCCUGAUGCAGCCAUGCCGCGUGUAUGAAGAAGGCCUUCGGGUUGUAAAGUACUUUUGGCAGGGAAGCGUUAUCUGCAGAAGAAGCACCGGCUAACUACGUGCCAGCAGCCGCGGUAAUUC
rnacentral:rRNA from 1 species